rnacentral:rRNA from 1 species
GACGAACGCUGGCGGCGUGCUUAACACAUGCAAGUCGAACGGAAAGGCCCUGCUUUUGUGGGGUGCUCGAGUGGCGAACGGGUGAGUAACACGUGAGUAACCUGCCCUUGACUUUGGGAUAACUUCAGGAAACUGGGGCUAAUACCGGAUAGGAGCUCCUGCUGCAUGGUGGGGGUUGGAAAGUUUCGUCGGUCGGGGAUGGACUCGCGGCUUAUCAGCUUGUUGGUGGGGUAGUGGCUUACCAAGGCGUUGACGGGUAGCCGGCCUGAGAGGGUGACCGGCCACAUUGGGACUGAGAUACGGCCCAGACUCCUACGGGAGGCAGCAGUGGGGAAUAUUGCACAAUGGGCGGAAGCCUGAUGCAGCGACGCCGCGUGCGGGAUGACGGCCUUCGGGUUGUAAACCGCUUUCGCCUGUGACGAAGCGUGAGUGACGGUACUGGGUAAAGAAGCACCGGCUAACUACGUG